AUACAUGCAAGUAGAACGCUGAAGAGAGGAGCUUGCUCUUCUUGGAUGAGUUGCGAACGGGUGAGUAACGCGUAGGUAACCUGCCUUGUAGCGGGGGAUAACUAUUGGAAACGAUAGCUAAUACCGCAUAACAAUGGAUGACUCAUGUCAUUUAUUUGAAAGGGGCAAAUGCUCCACUACAAGAUGGACCUGCGUUGUAUUAGCUAGUAGGUGAGGUAACGGCUCACCUAGGCGACGAUACAUAGCCGACCUGAGAGGGUGAUCGGCCACACUGGGACUGAGACACGGCCCAGACUCCUACGGGAGGCAGCAGUAGGGAAUCUUCGGCAAUGGGGGCAACCCUGACCGAGCAACGCCGCGUGAGUGAAGAAGGUUUUCGGAUCGUAAAGCUCUGUUGUAAGUCAAGAACGAGUGUGAGAGUGGAAAGUUCACACUGUGACGGUAGCUUACCAGAAAGGGACGGCUAACUACGUGC
rnacentral:rRNA from 1 species